rnacentral:lncRNA from 1 species
GGGACCAAAGACAUACAAACAGUGCACACAAUGUCAUCAAACAAAAUAAAGAACAGGACCACAAAAAAGGCAACAAAACACACUAGGAGACCAAAACACAACACACUAAGGGGACAAGAAGCCAACAUACUUCCAUGGGGGACCACAACAACAUAAAAUAACUCAUAAAAAAUGCACCUUUCACCUUUUCGCUUCGAAGGAAGACGACGCUAACGAACCGUAUAUGCUUCCCCACCGUAAUCACUAACAAACCCUUC